rnacentral:rRNA from 1 species
AUGGAGUGCCACGGUACUGUUAGUUUGGUCGUGCUCGUGCUCGUGCUGCUGCUCCGGUGGCCGGCGUUGAGCUCUGCGUCGGUGCCGGUGUCGAGGACCAUCACCGUUGACAGUAAAGGGGGAGGAGAUUUCAGGAGCAUUCAGUCGGCGGUGAACCUCGUCCCGGACGGCAACCGCGAGUGGGUCAGGAUCCACGUCCGGGCAGGGCGGUACAGGGAGAAGGUGACCAUCCCAAAGGAGAAAGGCUACAUCUUGCUCGAAGGGGAGGGCCACUCGAACACGGAGAUCUACUUCGACGACCACGCCCACGGCAGCACCGACGGCCUGAUGCGCCGCGGCGCCGACGCGAUGCAGACAUACGAGACCGCCACCUUCAAUGUCUACGCUAAUGACUUCGUUGCCCGGGACAUCACCUUCACCAACACGUACAACGGGGUCAACAAGAGCCGCGUCACCCAAGCGCUCGCGGCGAUGGUCAACGGUGAGCGGAUCGCCUUCCACCGUUGUGCCUUCAACGGCUUCGAGGACACGCUCUGCGACAACACCGGCCGGCACUACUUCCGUGAAUGCGUCAUCAAGGGCGGCGUCGACUUCAUCUUCGGCUACGCCCGGUCCAUCUACGACGGCUGCACCAUCGUGUCCAACAUACCCCCGCGGUACGGUCGCCGCCGUGCCGGGUGGGUGACGGCGCACGCUAGGCGCCAGGCCGGCGACCCCGGUGGUUUUGUGUUCAAGGGCGGGGAGCUCCGAGGCACCGGACGCCAGUAUCUCGGACGCGCGUGGAACAAGUACGCCACCGUCGUCUACUACCACAUGAACAUGUCCAGCGUCGUCGUCCCGCAGGGGUGGGCUCCGUGGUACGCCGGCAACAAUACUAACGACGUCAUGUUCGCAGAGGUUGGAUGCACCGGCCCCGGGUCAAACAUGGCCGGUAGAGUGCCGUGGGAGAAGCAUCUGACCGAGGCAGAGGUAGAGAAGUUCGUGAACAUGAGCUUCAUCGAUGACGGUUGGCUAAGCAAGCAGCCAUAG